AUGCCCUCAGACUUGCUACACCUGGGAUGGUUCCCAAGUACUGCUCACUCUACCUGCAUCUGCAUUUUUUUCCCCAUGCAUAGCAGAGACUUUCGUACUGUGCAUAAGGAAGCGUAUGAUGGCUGGGAUCCAAGCAACUACCAGCAGCCAAAACGUGUGCACCUGCAGGCUGAGCUUACCAACAUGCUCAGGAACAGCAACGCCAAGUUUGAUGACUCCACAGUGACCAAGGUUUCUUUCCCACCACCCUUCAAAACAAUAAAAGUAGCCACAGGCAAGCAGCCCACCAGCACAUUCAGAGUUCCUGAAGCGAAGUUUCAAGACAUCACCACCAACAAGCAAUUCUUCCAGAACUGGGGAGCCCAACCCCGCAUCCGCCACAGAGAUGUCCAUGAUGGGACCUACCUUAGGCCUGUCCUGUCAUUUGAAAGCCAAACCACCACCAAGAGCACUUUCAUGCCUACAACUGCCAAGAAGGUGAAGUUAUUCAAACCCAAAAGCAGCAGCAUCAAGAUUGGGGGAAACCAUGACUUCUCCACUGUGUACAGGGAGGUAUACAGGCCGCUUCAGUUGCCCAGCUGUUCACUGCACACUCAUCUGAUCCAAAAUCAGGACACAAAAACGAACAGAGAGACUACAACUCAACUCACCUGA
rnacentral:lncRNA from 1 species